rnacentral:rRNA from 1 species
UGUGAAACUGCGAAUGGCUCAUUAAAUCAGUUAUCGUUUAUUUGAUAGUACCUUACUACAUGGAUAACCGUGGUAAUUCUAGAGCUAAUACAUGCUAAAAACCUCGACUUCGGAAGGGGUGUAUUUAUUAGAUAAAAAACCAAUGCCCUUCGGGGCUUUUUGGUGAUUCAUAAUAACUUAACGAAUCGCAUGGCCUUGCGCCGGCGAUGGUUCAUUCAAAUUUCUGCCCUAUCAACUUUCGAUGGUAGGAUAGUGGCCUACCAUGGUUUCAACGGGUAACGGGGAAUUAGGGUUCUAUUCCGGAGAAGGAGCCUGAGAGACGGCUACUACAUCCAAGGAAGGCAGCAGGCGCGCAAAUUACCCAAUCCCGACACGGGGAGGUAGUGACAAUAAAUACUGAUACAGGGCUCUUUUGGGUCUUGUAAUUGGAAUGAGUACAAUUUAAAUCCCUUAACGAGGAACAAUUGGAGGGCAAGUCUGGUGAACUUUUAGUAGGUGGCCUGCGACGCAGGCGCUGCUGACGCCAGUGAGAGUUUUAUAGCUAGUCCCCUACCCGGGGGCGACACACCCAAUGUGCGGGAAGGCUACUCAGCCAAUCCGCAGCUGCUACCCGGCAGUUCAGAGGCUCGAUAGGUGUGGGCGCGCGCUACAGCACGCUUAAGAUAGAGUCCACACAGCGCUGCAACGCGCUGAAAAUGUGGCCAGCAGCCGCGGUAAUUCCAGCUCCAAUAGCGUAUAUUAAAGUUGUUGCAGUUAAAAAGCUCGUAGUUGAACUUCGGGAGCGGCCGCCCGGUCCGCCUCACCGCGUGCACUGGCGCGGCUGCUCCUUUCCUCCUGGGAGACACGAUGCCCUUCACUGGGUGUCGCUGAAAGCCAGGA